rnacentral:tRNA from 1 species
UCCCUGGUGUCUCAGCUGGUGAAGAAUCCGCCUGCAAUGCAGGAGACCUGGGUUCGAUCCCUAGCUUAGGAA